AUUGAACGCUGGCGGAAUGCUUUACACAUGCAAGUCGAGCGGCAGCACGGGGGCAACCCUGGUGGCGAGCGGCGAACGGGUGAGUAAUACAUCGGAACAUGCCCAGUCGUGGGGGAUAACACUUCGAAAGAAGUGCUAAUACCGCAUACGUCCUGAGGGGGAAAGCGGGGGAUCGCAAGACCUCGCGCGAUUGGAGUGGCCGAUGUCGGAUUAGCUAGUUGGUGGGGUAAAGGCCUACCAAGGCAACGAUCUGUAGCUGGUCUGAGAGGAUGAUCAGCCACACUGGAACUGAGACACGGCCCAGACUCCUACGGGAGGCAGCAGUGGGGAAUUUUGGACAAUGGGGGCAACCCUGAUCCAGCCAUUCCGCGUGGGUGAAGAAGGCCUUCGGGUUGUAAAGCUCUUUCGGCAGGAACGAAACGGUGAGCUCUAACAUAGCUUGCUAAUGACGGUACCUGAAGAAGAAGCACCGGCUAACUACGUG
rnacentral:rRNA from 1 species